UAAGGAGCGGUUGAAAAACACAAAGAUCUUCAACAGCAGUCAGAAGCGGUGAGAUUCAUGUCCAACAACAAGCAGUGGUGAAGAAAAGUGGGUGAGUUUUUCCUAGAAACGACUUUCUAUCGGAAUAAUGCGUUUGUGUUUUCUAUGUAAUGGAGUUUGUGGAAAGACCGCAGGGAAACUGCGGCACAGCAGCCGAAAUGAAGGACAACAGUUUCAGCCCAAAUUCCUCAGCUGGAUUUGAUGAUGUAAUGGUCAGUUAUGUAAUUGUGAUGGAGCGGUUGGAAAAACACAAAGAUUUUGAACAGCAGCCAGAAGCGGUGAGAUUCAUGUCCAACAACAAGCAGUGGUGAAGAAAAGUGGAAGUGUGAUUGAUUCCAGCAGAAGAGAUCGACGUCUUCAGGACUCUGUGUGUACACGAGCAGUGAAAAAUGGAGAUCCCUGAUCAGGGGACAGAUCAUGUGACCUCACCCUCAAAAGACUGUAAACUACAGAGAGAGAAAUCACACUCACCAGUGCCCAGCUGUGUCUCCAUGAAGAGUGAUGUGUCUAUGAAUCAACCUUUAAGAUUCAGCACUGGAAUCUCCUCACCUGGACACAGUGAACUACAGGGAGAAAAAACAGAAUUGAUUCAGAAGGAAAAUUAGCAUUUUCCUCAACCUAAACUCCCACUUCCCAA